rnacentral:rRNA from 1 species
UUUCGCAAUGCCCGAAAGGGUGACGAAGCGACGCCGCGUGGGUGAGGAAGGCCUUCGGGUUGUAAAGCCCUGUCAGGAGUUAAGAAAUGUAAGUGCGCUAACACCGCAUUUAUUUGACGAAGGCUCCAAAGGAAGUCACGGCUAACUCUGUGCCAGCAGCCGCGGUAAUACAGAGGUGGCAAGCGUUGUUCGGAAUUAUUGGGCGUAAAGAGCACGUAGGUGGGUUUGUAAGUCAGAUGUGAAAGCCUCCUGUUCAACGGGAGAAUUGCAUCUGAAACUACAGAUCUUGAGUGUAGGAGGGGAGAAUGGAACUUCUGGUGGAGCGGUGAAAUGCGUAGAUAUCAGAAGGAACGCCGGCGGCGAAAGCGAUUCUCUGGCCUAUUACUGACACUCAGUGUGCGAAAGCUAGGGUAGCAAACGGGAUUAGAUACCCCGGUAGUCCUAGCCGUAAACGAUGGGCACUAAGUAGAGGGGUUUUA